UAGGGAAUCUUCGGCAAUGGACGAAAGUCUGACCGAGCAACGCCGCGUGAGUGAAGAAGGUUUUCGGAUCGUAAAACUCUGUUGUUAGAGAAGAACAAGGACGUUAGUAACUGAACGUCCCCUGACGGUAUCUAACCAGAAAGCCACGGCUAACUACGUGCCAGCAGCCGCGGUAAUACGUAGGUGGCAAGCGUUGUCCGGAUUUAUUGGGCGUAAAGCGAGCGCAGGCGGUUUCUUAAGUCUGAUGUGAAAGCCCCCGGCUCAACCGGGGAGGGUCAAUGGAAACUGGGAGACUUGAGUGCAGAAGAGGGGAGUGGAAUUCCAUGUGUAGCGGUGAAAUGCGUAGAUAUAUGGAGGAACACCAGUGGCGAAGGCGCCUCUCUGGUCUGUAACUGACGCUGAGGCUCGAAAGCGUGGGGAGCAAACAGG
rnacentral:rRNA from 1 species